rnacentral:rRNA from 1 species
UGGGGAAUAUUGCACAAUGGGGGAAACCCUGAUGCAGCAACGCCGCGUGAGUGAUGACGGCCUUCGGGUUGUAAAGCUCUGUCUUCAGGGACGAUAAUGACGGUACCUGAGGAGGAAGCCACGGCUAACUACGUGCCAGCAGCCGCGGUAAUACGUAGGUGGCAAGCGUUGUCCGGAUUUACUGGGCGUAAAGGGAGCGUAGGCGGACUUUUAAGUGAGAUGUGAAAUACCCGGGCUCAACCUGGGUGCUGCAUUUCAAACUGGAAGUCUAGAGUGCAGGAGAGGAGAGUGGAAUUCCUAGUGUAGCGGUCAAAUGCGUAGAGAUUAGGAAGAACACCAGUGGCGAAGGCGACUCUCUGGACUGUAACUGACGCUGAGGCUCGAAAGCGUGGGGAGCAAACA